rnacentral:rRNA from 1 species
CCUACGGGUGGCAGCAGUGAGGAAUAUUGGUCAAUGGACGAGAGUCUGAACCAGCCAAGUAGCGUGAAGGAUGACUGCCCUAUGGGUUGUAAACUUCUUUUAUCAAGGAAUAAAACGAGGCACGUGUGCCUUUUUGCAUGUACUUUAUGAAUAAGGAUCGGCUAACUCCGUGCCAGCAGCCGCGGUAAUACGGAGGAUCCGAGCGUUUUCCGGAUUUAAUGGGUUUAAAGGGAGCGUAGAUGGGUUGUUAAGUCAGUUGUGAAAGGUUGCGGAUCAACCGUAAAAUUGCAAUUGAUACUGGCAGUCUUGAGUACAGUUGAGGUAGGCGGAAUUCGUGGUGUAGCGGUGAAAUGCAUAGAUAUCACGAAGAACCCCGAUUGCGAAGGCAGCUUACUAAACUGUGACUGACAUUGAUGCUCGAAAGUGUGGGUAUCAAACAGGAUUAGAUACCCCUGUAGUC